rnacentral:rRNA from 1 species
UUCUGUAAGCCUGUGAAGGUGAGUUGAGAAGCUUGCUGGAGGUAUCAGAAGUGCGAAUGCUGACAUGAGUAACGACAAUGGGUGUGAAAAACACCCACGCCGAAAGACCAAGGGUUCCUGCGCAACGUUAAUCGACGCAGGGUUAGUCGGUUCCUAAGGCGAGGCUGAAAAGCGUAGUCGAUGGGAAACAGGUUAAUAUUCCUGUACUUCUGGUUACUGCGAUGGAGGGACGGAGAAGGCUAGGCCAGCUUGGCGUUGGUUGUCCAAGUUUAAGGUGGUAGGCUGAAAUCUUAGGUAAAUCCGGGGUUUCAAGGCCGAGAGCUGAUGACGAGUCGUCUUUUAGAUGACGAAGUGGUUGAUGCCAUGCUUCCAAGAAAAGCUUCUAAGCUUCAGGUAACCAGGAACCGUACCCCAAACCGACACAGGUGGUCGGGUAGAGAAUACCAAGGCGCUUGAGAGAACUCGGGUGAAGGAACUAGGCAAAAUGGCACCGUAACUUCGGGAGAAGGUGCGCCGGCUAGGGUGAAGGAUUUACUCCGUAAGCCCUGGCUGGUCGAAGAUACCAGGCCGCUGCGACUGUUUAUUAAAAACACAGCACUCUGCAAACACGAAAGUGGACGUAUAGGGUGUGACGCCUGCCCGGUGCCGGAAGGUUAAUUGAUGGGGUUAGCGCAAGCGAAGCUCUUGAUCGAAGCCCCGGUAAACGGCGGCCGUAACUAUAACGGUCCUAAGGUAGCGAAAUUCCUUGUCGGGUAAGUUCCGACCUGCACGAAUGGCGUAACGAUGGCGGCGCUGUCUCCACCCGAGACUCAGUGAAAUUGAAAUCGCUGUGAAGAUGCAGUGUAUCCGCGGCUAGACGGAAAGACCCCGUGAACCUUUACUGUAGCUUUGCACUGGACUUUGAGCCUGCUUGUGUAGGAUAGGUGGGAGGCUUUGAAGCGUGGACGCCAGUUCGCGUGGAGCCAUCCUUGAAAUACCACCCUGGCAUGCUUGAGGUUCUAACUCUGGUCCGUGAUCCGGAUCGAGGACAGUGUAUGGUGGGCAGUUUGACUGGGGCGGUCUCCUCCUAAAGAGUAACGGAGGAGUACGAAGGUGCGCUCAGACCGGUCGGAAAUCGGUCGCAGAGUAUAAAGGCAAAAGCGCGCUUGACUGCGAGACAGACACGUCGAGCAGGUACGAAAGUAGGUCUUAGUGAUCCGGUGGUUCUGUAUGGAAGGGCCAUCGCUCAACGGAUAAAAGGUACUCCGGGGAUAACAGGCUGAUACCGCCCAAGAGUUCAUAUCGACGGCGGUGUUUGGCACCUCGAUGUCGGCUCAUCACAUCCUGGGGCUGAAGCCGGUCCCAAGGGUAUGGCUGUUCGCCAUUUAAAGUGGUACGCGAGCUGGGUUUAGAACGUCGUGAGACAGUUCGGUCCCUAUCUGCCGUGGACGUUUGAGAUUUGAGAGGGGCUGCUCCUAGUACGAGAGGACCGGAGUGGACGAACCUCUGGUGUUCCGGUUGUCACGCCAGUGGCAUUGCCGGGUAGCUAUGUUCGGAAAAGAUAACCGCUGAAAGCAUCUAAGCGGGAAACUUGCCUCAAGAUGAGAUCUCACUGGGAACUUGAUUCCCCUGAAGGGCCGUCGAAGACUACGACGUUGAUAGGCUGGGUGUGUAAGCGUUGUGAGGCGUUGAGCUAACCAGUACUAAUUGCCCGUGAGGCUUGACCAU